UGCGUCGGUGUCGAGGCUCCAGUCUGACUAAUCCAGGGGGUCGACAAAACAGAUUCGGGACACUAUGCUACACGGAGGGCCUACCAGGAUGCAGAAACAGCAGACGGAGUCCAGGGAAAGCAGUGCGGCAUCCCAGCCUCAGGCCUGCCCGUACGGUGUUCGGGAGGGGAGGAGACCAAUGUGAAAGGAGAUGGUUCUAUCUCCUCGCGGCUCUUCUCUGAGAAAUGAAGCCACGAUACGAAACAAUCUUCAAGAAGAAGCUGAAAACCGGAUAUGACACGGAUGUCCCCAGAACACAGCAGGCAUCCUGAAGCUCCGCCUCCUGAAGCUCCCCCUCCCUCGGUGGAAGUCGGCUCAGGGAGGUCCUGAGGACAGGACUCCUGGGGGUUUGGCUGCAGAAUGAAUUCAUUAGGACUUUAUAUAAUUUUUCAAAUCAUGAAAUUGCGCAAGCUUUUGAAUAUGGAAUUGGGAGGGCUUUCAGUUCAUUCAGUAGAAAACUGGAACAUUUUUGAAAGGUGAUCUGCUUGACACCUUUCAAAGAGCACAAAACCUUGUGAAGUAGCAGAUGCAAUGAUUACCAAUGUACUUUAUAAAAUGACUUUCAGAGUUUGAGAUGAAAUUGGCUUUUCUGAAAUAUGUAAGUCUCUGGAAAAACUCAACAUUUCUAAUCUUGCUUUGGAAAGCCUUUAAGUAUGUAAAAAUCAAUUUCUUAUAUCUUCUCUGAAAUAAACAUGGAAUAUCCUAAGGUUUUGUUCAUGUUUCAUGAAUUUCACAGCAUUCAUCAUAUUUUAAAGUUAUUUUUGAUACUUUGCAUUGUAUUAAAAUCUGUCUUGGAAUGAGAGGCCUGAAAAACAAUCAUAAUAUACUGUUGUUGUCUAACAAUAUAUCAAGUUUUUAAUGACUCUUACGAUGCAAUAUUUUUAUCAUUCUUGUAGUUUAUCCACGUGUAUUUAAUAUUACUAGCAGAAAUUUAGAUUUUAGUAAAUUAAUUCUGAUCUUUGUAAAAUAAAAUACUUUAGUUUUCAAUCUA
rnacentral:lncRNA from 1 species